GACGAACGCUGGCGGCGUGCCUAAUACAUGCAAGUUGAGCGCUGAAGGUUGGUACUUGUACCAACUGGAUGAGCAGCGAACGGGUGAGUAACGCGUGGGGAAUCUGCCUUUGAGCGGGGGACAACAUUUGGAAACGAAUGCUAAUACCGCAUAAAAACUUUAAACACAAGUUUUAAGUUUGAAAGAUGCAAUUGCAUCACUCAAAGAUGAUCCCGCGUUGUAUUAGCUAGUUGGUGAGGUAAAGGCUCACCAAGGCGAUGAUACAUAGCCGACCUGAGAGGGUGAUCGGCCACAUUGGGACUGAGGCACGGCCCAAACUCCUACGGGAGGCAGCAGUAGGGAAUCUUCGGCAAUGGACGAAAGUCUGACCGAGCAACGCCGCGUGAGUGAAGAAGGGUGUCGGAUCGUAAAACUCGGUUGGUAGAGAAGAACGUUGGUGAGAGUGGAAAGCUCAUCAAGUGACGGUAACUACACAGAAAGGGACGGCUAACUACGUG
rnacentral:rRNA from 1 species